rnacentral:rRNA from 1 species
AGUGAACGCUGGCGGUAGGCCUAACACAUGCAAGUCGAACGGCAGCACAGUAAGAGCUUGCUCUUACGGGUGGCGAGUGGCGGCCGGGUGAGGAAUACAUCGGAAUCUACUUUUUCGUGGGGGAUAACGUAGGGAAACUUACGCUAAUACCGCAUACGACCUACGGGUGAAAGCAGGGGAUCUUCGGACCUUGCGCGAUUGAAUGAGCCGAUGUCGGAUUAGCUAGUUGGCGGGGUAAAGGCCCACCAAGGCGACGAUCCGUAGCUGGUCUGAGAGGAUGAUCAGCCACACUGGAACUGAGACACGGUCCAGACUCCUACGGGAGGCAGCAGUGGGGAAUAUUGGACAAUGGGCGCAAGCCUGAUCCAGCCAUACCGCGUGGGUGAAGAAGGCCUUCGGGUUGUAAAGCCCUGUUGUUGGGAAAGAAAAGCAGCAGGUUAAUACCCCGCUGUUCUGACGGUACCCAAAGAAUAAGCACCGGCUAACUUCGUG